rnacentral:rRNA from 1 species
CCUACGGGUGGCAGCAGUGAGGAAUAUUGGUCAAUGGACGAGAGUCUGAACCAGCCAAGCCGCGUGAAGGAUGACGGCCCUAUGGGUUGUAAACUUCUUUUGUAUGGGAAUAAAAUGUUCUACGUGUGGUCUUCUGUAUGUACCAUAUGAAUAAGGAUCGGCUAACUCCGUGCCAGCAGCCGCGGUAAUACGGAGGAUCCGAGCGUUAUCCGGAUUUAUUGGGUUUAAAGGGAGCGUAGGGGGAUUGUUAAGUUAGUUGUGAAAGUUUGGGGCUAAACCGGAAAAGUGCAUUUGAAACUGGCGAUCUAGAGUACAGUAGAGGUAGGCGGAAUGCAUGGUGUAGCGGUGAAAUGCUUAGAUAUCAGGAAGAACACCGAUUGCGAAGGCAGUUCACUGGACUACAACUGACGCUGAGGCACGAAAGUGUGGGGAGCAAACAGGAUUAGAUACCCUGGUAGUC